AUGCAUGAUGACAAACCCCAUAGACCAAGACUUGGCCAUGCAAUCACCAAGCUCCACCUCACCUCUUCCUUGACUUUCUCAAACAAAUAGAACAUCCAAGAAGCUCCUUACUUCUCCAUUUCCUACGGGUAAACACCAAGUCUGAAAUUUCAGCUUACUUUACUCUCUUUUUCUCUUAAGGAAAGUGCUAGGAAGCUCCCUUGAGUCUUCCUCUCAAGUCCACCAGUUCACACACCAAAAGAAAGACAAAAACCCACCCAAAAGUGUUCCCCUUAUCCCAUUUUCUUGGCUGCACCAGACAGAAAGUCCAGCAGCAAGAAGGAAGCUCUUUUCAAUUCUCUCAAGCUCUCUACCUCUCAUACCUUCUGGUCCAGCCACUAGGAAAGGAAAAUCCUUUCAUGUGUUACCAGUAUCCAAGUCUAAGCUCCUUCGACUUUAGGCUCUCAGUUCCUCUGCUUUCAGGUAAGGGAUAAGUUAUAUGAGCAUUUGGUAAGUCAUGAGGUUAUUUUAAAGUAUAUUAUGCAUUAAAAUGUUUUUGAUUAGAGAUAUGGCAUGUAAUCAUUAUUCUGACAAAGAUAUGUUCGUGAGCCUUCGAAAAACUUAUGUAUAUGAUUUAAGCAUAUUGAUGCUAUUAUUGAUUCCACGAACAUGAUGUUUAAUGAAAAGAAUGGAAACACUAUUAUUAUGAAAUGUUAUGCAAAAUAAGAAAUUUCAGUAUGAUGUAAAGUAUGAAAUGUUUUCGGGUUA